rnacentral:rRNA from 1 species
GGACUACACGGGUUUCUAAUCCUGUUUGCUACCCACGCUUUCGUGUCUCAGUGUCAGUAAUGGUCCAGAAAGCUGUCUACACCACAGGUGUUCCUCCUGAUAUCUACGCAUUUCACCGCUACACCAGGAAUUCCGCUUUCCUCUCCCAUACUCGAGCACCCCAGUUUCCGCCGCACCCUCCCAGUUGAGCCGGGAGAUUUCACAACAGACUUAGAGCACCACCUACACACUCUUUACGCCCAGUAAUUCCGAACAACGCUUGCUGCCUACGUAUUACCGCGGCUGCUGGCAC